CAGGUGUGUGGCUCAGUCAGCGGAGCACCGGCCCGUGAAGCCGGGGAAGCGGGUGCAAUUCCCGCCCACCUGACCA
rnacentral:tRNA from 1 species